GUCUACGCUGUAAACGAUGUUCACUAGUUGCUGGGCGCCUUGGCGUGCUCAGUGACGUAGCUAACGCGUUAAGUGAACCGCCUGGGGAGUACGGUCGCAAGAUUAAAACUCAAAGGAAUUGACGGGGACCCGCACAAGCGGUGGAGCAUGUGGUUUAAUUCGAAGCAACGCGCAGAACCUUACCUGGGUUUGACAUGGAGAGAAGUUCCGGUAAUGCGGAAUGUGCCCUUCGGGGAGCUCUCGCACAGGUGCUGCAUGGCG
rnacentral:rRNA from 1 species